UGGAGACGUCGCUGCCGUGAUCG
rnacentral:snRNA from 1 species